GACGAACUGUGCAAACGUUAUUCGGAAUCACUGGGCUUAAAGGGUGCGUAGGCGGUCUUGUAAGUAGGGUGUGAAAGCCCCCGGCUCAACCGGGGAACUGCGUCCUAAACUGCAAGGCUAGAGUGAGGUAGGGGUGUGUGGAACUUCCAGUGGAGCGGUGAAAUGUGUUGAUAUUGGAAGGAACGCCGGUGGCGAAAGCGACACACUGGACCUUGUCUGACGCUGAGGCACGAAAGUCAGGGGAGCAAACGGG
rnacentral:rRNA from 1 species